UUAUAGCCCGGAUUGAAACGGCAUCCUUUUGCGCAGCGCAGCGGAGCAAAAGAUAGAGUGGAAAGCCGGUGUGGUU
rfam:Flavobacteriaceae bacterium JJC contig01, whole genome shotgun sequence.